rnacentral:rRNA from 1 species
CGUAGGUGCAAGCGUUAAUCGGAAUUACUGGGCGUAAAGCGUGCGCAGGCGGUUAUGUAAGACAGAUGUGAAAUCCCCGGGCUCAACCUGGGAAUUGCAUUAGUGACUGCAUAGCUAGAGUGCGGCAGAGGGGAUGGAAUUCCGCGUGUAGCAGUGAAAUGCGUAGAUAUGCGGAGGAACACCGAUGGCGAAGGCAAUCCCCUGGGGCCUGCACUGACGCUCAUGCACGAAAGCGUGGGAGCAAACAGGAUU